UACGUAGGUGGCAAGCGUUGUUCGGAAUUACUGGGCGUAAAGCGCGUGUAGGCGGCUCUUCAAGUCAGACGUGAAAGCCCCGGGCUUAACUCGGGAACUGCGUUUGAUACUGCAGGGCUAGAGUCCGGAAGAGGCGAGUGGAAUUCCUGGUGUAGCGGUGAAAUGCGCAGAUAUCAGGAGGAACACCGAUGGCGAAGGCAGCUCGCUGGGACGGUACUGACGCUGAGGCGCGAAAGCGUGGGGAGCAAACAGG
rnacentral:rRNA from 1 species